rnacentral:rRNA from 1 species
GAUGAACGCUGGCGGCGUGCUUAACACAUGCAAGUCGAGCGGAGAGGCAGAGCUUGCUCUGUGGCUCAGUGGCGAACGGGUGAGUAACACGUGAGCAACUUGCCCAUCACUCUGGGCUACGCGCUGUAAAGGACGCCUAUUACUGGAUAUGAGCUGCGACCGCAUGGUCAGCAGUUGGAAAGAUUUCUCGGUCUGGGAUGGGCUGACGGCCUAUCAGCUUGUUUGUGAGGUAAUGGCUCACAAAGGCGUCGACGGGUAGCCGGCCUGAGAGGGGGAACAGGCACACUGGGACUGAGGGACGGCCCAGACUGCUACGGGCGGCAGCAGUGGGAAACAUUGCACAACGGGCCAAAGCCUGAUACAACGACGCCGCGUUAGUAAUGACGUCCUACGAGGUGUAAACCUCUUUGAGCAUGAAAGAAGAGAAAUUGACGGUACCUGCAGAAAAAGCGCCGGCUAACUACGUG